AUGAAACGGCCUUCAUUUAAUCUUUUUCUCUCAAUGGUCACAUGCACACCAGACACAAAUGCACUGGCCUUCAUGAUUCCAAGACCUGGAAUCAUACCAGCCGAUGGGAAUUACCGAUGCAAGUCGAAGAAGGAUUGGCCGGUGCUGCCGGCUGGCGUCAAGUUCGAUCCCACGGAUCAGGAGCUGAUCGAGCACCUUGAGGCCAAAGUGAGUGCUGGCAGCGCGAGAUCUCACCCUCUCAUCGAUUUAUUCAUACCAACCAUUGACAGCGAGCACGGCAUAUGCUACACCCAACCUGAGAAACUUCCAGGUAUCACACUGAGUGGCCUAAGGAAGCACUUCUUCCAGCGCAAUUCCAGGGCGUUCAAAAGGGGCACGUGGACGCGUCGCAAGAUACAGUCGGAAUAUGGCAUGCACGCGAUGUGGCACAAGACCGGCAAUACCUUACCAGUGAUGCUCAACGGCCGACAGACGGGCAACAAAAAGGUUCUGGUGCUGCACACCAACAAGAAUUUCGACCAGCAGAGGACCAACUGGGUGAUGCACCAGUACCACCUCAGGGACCUAGAGCAAGAGAAGGAGUGUGAGCUGGUCCUCUGCAAGAUUUUGUACCAGACGAACACUAGGGCCAGGAGUAAAAAGAUUAUAAGUCGAGCAAGUUUCAACUGGGCUGUAGACUGCCCAGGCUUGGUUUUGUCUUUAAUAGGCCCAGCCCAUGACGACAACGGGGCACAAAGAUCCAGCAGGUAUCUAUUGGCCUCUGGCUCCAGCAUUAGUUAUAUUUUGUCUUACAACAUCCGCAGGCAGUUUUUUUACUGA
rnacentral:rRNA from 1 species